UCAUACUGUGAAGAUUACCAGCCCUAGUUAGUGUUAGUCUGCAGACAGAGCUGCUGGGGCGGCGUGGCGCUCUGAGGCCGGGCUUUUUCACAACACUUUCUCC